rnacentral:misc_RNA from 1 species
GACAAGAUGGCUUGCUUCACACUGCUUGCGGUACUCCAGCAUAUGUUGCCCCUGAGGUAAUCAAUAGAAAAGGAUAUGAUGGUGCAAAGGCAGAUAUAUGGUCUUGUGGGGUGGUUCUAUUUGUUCUGAUGGCUGGUUAUCUGCCUUUCCAUGAUUCAAAUCUCAUGGACAUGUACAGAAAGAUUGGUAAAGCAGAAUACAAGUGCCCUAAUUGGUUCUCUUCCGAUCUUCGAAGGUUAAUAUCAAGGAUCCUAGACCCGAAUCCAGCUACAAGAAUUUCUCUUGCCAAAAUCAUGGAGAAUCCUUGGUUCAGGAAGGGGUUUGAUAGUAAACUUUUGAAGGGAGUUGGAGCUGAAACAAAAGAAGUGUCCCCUGAGGAUGUAAAAGUCCUGUUUGAUUCUUCUGAGGGCAAUAUGGUGGAAAAGAAACAAGAGUCGACGAAGAAGCCGUCUAACUUGAAUGCAUUUGAUAUCAUUUCCCUUUCAGCUGGGUUUGAUCUUUCGGGUUUAUUUGAGGAAAGGGAGAACAAGAAAGAAGCAAGAUUUAUUUCUUCUAGUCCUGCUUCAACGAUCAUCUCAAAGUUGCAAGAUGUUGCCAAAAGACUUAGAUUAAAAGUGAAAAAGGAGGAGGAUGGACUCUUGAAAUUAGAAGGUCGCAAGGAAGGACGGAAGGGGGUUCUGGCCAUUGAUGCUGAGAUUUUUGAAGUUACGCCUUCAUUUCAUUUAGUCGAGAUAAAAAAGUCAAAUGGUGAUACGUUGGAGUACCAGAAGCUGUGGAAGCAAGACAUGAGGCCUGCUCUCAAGGACAUUGUUUGGGCUUGGCAAGGUGAUCAGCCCCUUCCUCUGCCACAGUCACAACCGGAGCAGCCCUGAAUGUGCCGGCAACAAAUGUUUCUACUGGGAUUACGCCAUAGUCACAACCGGAGCAGCCCAGAAUGUGCCGGCGAUAAAUGUUUCUGCUGGGAUUAUUGAUUGUUAUCGC